rnacentral:rRNA from 1 species
CGACGUGGGUACCGUGCCCUAUACACAUGGAUAACAUACUGAAAAGUUUAUUAAUACAUGAUAAUAUAUAUUUACGGCAUCGUAGAUAUAUCAAAGUGUUAGCGGUAUAGGAUGGACCCGCGUCUGAUUAGCUAGUUGGUGAGAUAACUGCCCACCAAGGCGACGAUCAGUAGCCGACCUGAGAGGGUGAUCGGCCACAUUGGAACUGAGACACGGUCCAA